CGGCGACGUGGGUGGUUCG
rnacentral:siRNA from 1 species